GACAGAGGGGGCAAGCGUUGCUCGGAAUUACUGGGCGUAAAGGGCGCGUAGGCGGGAUGGCAAGUCGGUCGUGAAAUCCUUCGGCUCAACCGAAGAACGUCGAUCGAUACUGCUGUUCUUGAGGGUUGCAGAGGAGACUGGAAUUCCCGGUGUAGCGGUGAAAUGUGUAGAGAUCGGGAGGAACACCGGUGGCGAAGGCGGGUCUCUGGGCAAUUCCUGACGCUGAGGCGCGAAAGCUAGGGGAGCAAACAGG
rnacentral:rRNA from 1 species